rnacentral:tRNA from 1 species
GCCGACUCAGCUCAGCAGACAGAGCAACUGACCUGUAAUCAUCAGGUCACCAGUUCGACUCCGGUAGUCGGCACCA